GCAGCAGCCGCGGUAAUACAGAGGGUGCGAGCGUUAAUCGGAUUUACUGGGCGUAAAGCGUGCGUAGGCGGCUAAUUGAGUCGGAUGUGAAAUCCCCGAGCUUAACUUGGGAAUUGCAUUCGAUACUGGUUAGCUAGAGUGUGGGAGAGGAUGGUAGAAUUCCAGGUGUAGCGGUGAAAUGCGUAGAGAUCUGGAGGAAUACCGAUGGCGAAGGCAGCCAUCUGGCCUAACACUGACGCUGAGGUACGAAAGCAUGGGGAGCAAACAGGAUUAGAUACCCGUGUAGUCCCUGUCUCUUAUAC
rnacentral:rRNA from 1 species